ACUACUCACUUCAAGUUUAAGAUUUCCUUUUCCGGAAGAAAAAGUAUUGUGAGAAAAAAGUCUUUAAUUAGAACAGGAGUGACUUUAAAUAUGAGAAAAUAUCUUAAACUUGGAGUCGUAAGCCAUUUGUGUCCCCAUCUAUCAUAUAUAAAGGAAGGACGUCCAUGUCAAGAAAAAUACGCGGCUAACAUGAAAGGCUUUCCGGAAGUAGAUUAAAACUCAGAUACCAGUAAAGAUCCGGAACUUAUCGCUGUUGAGUGGAUUUCCACUAGUGGCCACUCUUCUUCUACUUAAAUUAGUCACGACUUUUUCAUUCAUAAAAAUAUGUCCAUUAAGAAAUCAUCUUACAUCAGGGGAUCAAAUGGAGUUUUUCCUUUCAUAGUAUUUAAAAGUUCAACAGGAUUAUAGUCGUGUGAAGAGUAUCAGGUGAUUUUUUGGAGUGUUGGACCUCCUUGGUCACCAAUUUACCGACUACUGUUCAAUUAUAGGCAAGAAAAAUACUUAAUCAAAGGUGUCGCUUUCCUAAAACAAAUGCAAUUGCUAAAAGUUUAAAUACUAGUAAGUAAGAAGUCAGCAAAUUAGUUCCCCGUCUGGCGCGUGAAUACUUACUAUAAUUUUAUUUAAUGAUUUAAGUCCCAUCCCACAGGGAAGGUUAAUUUCGAAAUAUUUCGUGAAUUAGCGAAACCUACACCAAAUGUUUUGUCAAAGACGGCAUCCAGACGGUACCAACGAGACCAAAAGGGUCGCACUAAUGAAAGGAAGUCAAGGAGGAGGGGAUAGUGCAAUUUGUAAUGAAAAUUAGUUCGUUUUAUUUAAUUGAAAGCAGAGGAAUAUAAUAGAAGGAUAAAACAAAUCUGGGGAACGGCUAUCCACAUAAAAAUCUAACAUCAAGAAAAUACGGGGACGGUACCAGGUCUUUGAAACCUGUUAGAAAUACAGAAUUCAAAGAAGCGGGAAAUAAUUCAACGGAACUUACAAAAGGACUAAAGAUUAAAUGAAUGUUCGUUGUUAUUGUUAGCUAUAUCGAAAGAAAAAAAGUUAACUUUUUUCUGGUGUUCUGCUUACUGCAUGUCGAUAGUGCAUAUGUAUUUAUAAAGAAAUUCGUUAAUUCUGAAAGAAAGAAAUGAUAAUUGUAAACUGAGUUUUAUGUAAUAUUCUCAGCAGUUCGCCAAGAUUUUAUCAGCAUUCUGUCGAGAUGAACUUUAAAGAAUAAAAUGUCCAAAUAUCAAACGUUUUCUUAAGUAGAGUGACGAAUUGCUCAAGAGCUACCUGCCACUUUUGUAAGUCGGGGACCAAACUUUUCCAGCAGACAAAAAGAAAGGACUUGGGGUGAUUUUGACAUCCUGAGGGGUUUCUGCCUCAAGUAACAUUCGAUCAACUCUUGAUAAAGUUUUCAAAGACUGGCUACAUCCUCCGGUCUUUUCACGACAAAAAUGUCAAAUAAUACUCCAUUGUUUCCACACAAAAGGGUAUUUGCUAAAGUGUCCAAGCUUGUUUGGGACCCCGACGGAGUAAUCCAGGGUUCAAGUGACUUGGAAUUUAUCACGUGAUUGGUACAUAGCGGGGAUGAUCGUACAAUGGCGAGCAUCACAACAAAAGCUUGGGGUUUAGUGGACAAUAGUAAAUUUUAAAAACUGUUAUUAACAUGUACCCAAGAUAAUAAUGUCUGGUUUGAAUGCUCUUGGCAAGGUUGAAUUUAAAUACUCAUG